GAAGUUUUUUUAGCUGAAAAAUUUUUAUUUAAUUUUGAAUUUAUAAGGGAACAUUUGAUUAGAUAGAUUGAUUCUCAGUAAAAAAUAUUAAAUAUUAGGUAAUUCUUGAUUUAGCAAAAAUUAUAAGUAUUAACAAAAUUUGUGCCAGCAGUUGCGGUUACACAAAUAAUACAAUAAAAAUAGAUUGGUUUUAAUAAAUUGUUAAUUAAAUAUAAAAUAUAGUUUUAUUAGGUGAAAUUUUAAAUUUAUGUUUAUAUUAAAUUUUUAAAAUGAGGUUAAGAAAUUCAAUUAAUAAACUAGGAUUAGAUACCCUAUUAUUUUGAAUGUAAAUUAUUGACCAAAGUAUUAAUAGUUAUGUUCUUGAAAUUUAAAGAAUAUGGCGGUGUCUUAGUCUGUUCAGAGGAACCUGUUCUAUAAAUGAUAGUCCACGAUUAAAUUAAUCUAAUUUAUAAAUUUGUAUAUCGUCGUAGUUUGAAUAUUUUAUAAGAAUUUAAUGUUCAAUAUACAAAAUUAUGUAUAAAGUCAGAUCAUGGUGUAGUUUAUAAUUAGGGAGAAAUGGGUUACAUUUAAUUUAUUAAUGGUUUGUUUUAUGAAAAAUAACAAUAAAUUGGAUUUGAAAGUAAAAUUAAAAAUAUUUUUUUUUUGAUUUUAGCUCUAAGAUAUGUACAUAUCGCCCGUCGCUUUCACUAUAAAGUGAAAUAAGUCGUAACAUAGUAGUUUUACUGGAAAGUGAAGCUAGAAAGAC
rnacentral:ncRNA from 1 species